GACGAACGCUGGCGGCGUGCUUAACACAUGCAAGUCGAACGAUGAAGCCGGAGCUUGCUCUGGUGAAUUAGUGGCGAACGGGUGAGUAACACGUGAGUAACCUGCCCUUGACUCUGGGAUAACUGCGGGAAACUGUAGCUAAUACCGGAUACGACCCUCGGAGGCAUCUCCUGGGGGUGGAAAGAAUUUCGGUCAAGGAUGGACUCGCGGCCUAUCAGCUAGUUGGUGAGGUAAAGGCUCACCAAGGCGACGACGGGUAGCCGGCCUGAGAGGGUGACCGGCCACACUGGGACUGAGACACGACCCAGACUCCUCCGGGAGGCAGCAGUGGGGAAUAUUGCACAAUGGGCGCAAGCCUGAUGCAGCAACGCCGCGUGAGGGAUGCCGGCCUUCGGGUUGUAAACCUUUUUUAGCAGGGAAGAAGCGAAAGUGACGGUACCUGCAGAAAAAGCACCGGCUAACUACGUGCCAGCCGCCGCAGUAA
rnacentral:rRNA from 1 species